rnacentral:rRNA from 1 species
CCUACGGGAGGCAGCAGUGAGGAAUAUUGGUCAAUGGGCGCGAGCCUGAACCAGCCAAGUAGCGUGAAGGAUGACUGCCCUACGGGUCGUAAACUUCUUUUAUAAAGGAAUAAAGUGAGGCACGUGUGCCUUUUUGUAUGUACUUUAUGAAUAAGGAUCGGCUAACUCCGUGCCAGCAGCCGCGGUAAUACGGAGGAUCCAAGCGUUAUCCGGAUUUAUUGGGUUUAAAGGGAGCGUAGAUGGGUUGUUAAGUCAGUGGUGAAAGUUUGCGGCUCAACCGUAAAAUUGCAAUUGAUACUGGCAGUCUUGAGUACAGUUGAGGUAGGCGGAAUGCGUGGUGUAGCGGUGAAAUGCUUAGAUAUCACGAAGAACUCCGAUUGCGAAGGCAGCUUACUAAACUGCCACUGACAUUGAUGCUCGAAAGUGUGGGUAUCAAACAGGAUUAGAUACCCCUGUAGUC